CCCCUCAGGAGCUCGGUGGCUGGGCCUUCCUGCUGUCCCCUGAGCCACCUCUACCUCCCCUUGUUGGGCCUGUGUGGCUGCCUCCCUCGAGGAAGGCACAGUGGCUCUUUUUCCUCCUCCUGAGGCCAGAUGUGGGAAGGGAGGGGAGCUAGAUUGGAGCUAUGGGCUUGGGAAGGUGUCCAAUCUCACAUCUGACACCUGGAAGCAGGUUCUGAGGACCUACUGAACACACUAGAACUCAGGUGGGGGUGGGAGUCCCCAGAUCAGACCGUAGGCUGGUCUUUAGUGCUUGGUUCACAUUACACUGGCUUCAACCUCCUUCAGGCCCUGGGCUCCUGUCCUGAAGAGUCCUGAGCCCUGGGUUUCC